CUCCCUAUCCUCAUCGGAGGCAACAGCUCCCGGCUUCUCUGAUUGGCUGCGGCGUCGGCCGCUAUGCUAAUGAGGAGCCCGGACAGAGGGCGGGGCCGCUCGAAAGGAUGCAACGACUGCAAUGCAGGGGAGCCGAGAUCAUGGAUGCGCUGCAAUCCAAUGAGUGAGUGCCGUUUGAUGAUGCUGCAGCGUAAUCCAGUCCCGCCUGAUGCUGCAGCGCAAUCCACCUAUCUGAUGAGUGGAGUUCUCUGGCACUCCAGUCCAACUUCUGGGGACGAGUGUAAUGACUCCCGGCGGCCGUGCGGGAUGCCGGACGAAAUCUGACUUAAAAACCAUGCCUUGUAAGUAAUUGCCCCUUUAAAAAAAGUGAGAGUUCGGCCGGCAUCCCGCUCGCCGCUGAACUCAGGAGUCUUUUCAUCCGGCCCCAGGAGUCUGGAUGAACAUUGAAUCUGAACUGAUACAAUUUGUUUCCAUUUUUUCACUCGAUGUAGGAGGAGCGAAAAAAAUGCAUUCCAAGUACCAUCAAUCACCUGUGGUCUCCAUCUUUCUAAUCUUUCCAUUCUAAUAUUUGGUAAAUAUACGUUGCACUCUCAAUACCAA